CGAACGGGUGAGUAAUGCGUGACCAACCUGCCCCAUGCUCCAGAAUAGCUCUUGGAAACGGGUGGUAAUGCUGGAUGCUCCAACUUGACGCAUGUCUUGUUGGGAAAGUGUUUAGUGGCAUGGGAUGGGGUCGCGUCCUAUCAGCUUGUAGGCGGGGUAAUGGCCCACCUAGGCUUCGAACGGGUAGCCGGCCUGAGAGGGCGGACGGCCACAUUGGGACUGAGAUACGGCCCAGACUCCUACGGGAGGCAGCAGUU
rnacentral:rRNA from 1 species